GGGUUUUUGCUAUAAAAAGUAAGUAUGUAUGCUGAGGACAUGACCAUAAAAAGAUUGUCUGCUAGGUUUUCUAUCUGCCACCUUGCUAGCAAUUCGGUCUAUUGGGAACAUUU
rnacentral:snoRNA from 1 species